AAAGGAAUCGUGGCUAUAUUGCUCUGGAAUCUAAAGUUAUUCAAACAUAUUCUAUAAAAAAACACUUUUCCAAUCUCUCAAAGUGGAUUUCAAUAUCAAAUUAAUUUGCAUUCACCAAAUGCACAUAUUCAAGGGUAUUCCAAGUUCGGCCUUGCUGAUCGCCGCGCUAGAUCUGUGCUCGCCCCGAAUGGGCCCCGAGGCUUGGCUCGCUUCGCCUCAUGCUCGCAUGCCGGCAGAGCGAGAUGGCUAGAAGAGUGUGUUAGAGAGUCGGCGGCUAGACGCAGCGGGAGCGAGACGGUGCUAUCCAAAGAUGGGGCGAAAUAAUUGUGGCAGAAAUAUGCGAAACGUGCAAAACACCAAUAAAUUGAGCGAACAACAAUUUUUUUUUUUAGACAUAUAUAAAUACAUGUAUAGAAUUGUACAAUAAAUACUAGAUGGAACUA